rnacentral:rRNA from 1 species
CUGAGCACAGCCAGCACACUGAGGUCAUCUUCUCUGAGCUCAGAUGCUAAGCAGGGCUGGGUAUGGAUAGUACUGGAUGGGAGACCAAAGGGGAUGACAGGUGCUGUUCAGG